rnacentral:sRNA from 1 species
AGUCUAAUGUAAAUUCAUCCUUCAGUUCGUGAGGAAGCCCUGCCUAGUCCUGCAAACACUGCCUAUGGUCUUCAAUGCCGAAGGCUAUUUUCAACUUACUAACAAGGCAAAUUUGCUCUGUAUCCUAAUGGAGCACACAGAGCAAGAGAUUUCCCUCCACGCCGCUGCAGUGGUAACAGUCACAUGCGGCAUGAGAACUAUUUUUAAAGCAUUGCAAGAUCCCCCGAGAAGAUUUCCUGCUAUGCUACUGAAUCCAAUGCAGGCAAUCUGAGUUAUAGUCUCUUCUUGGAAAAAACCGACGAAGGGAUAGAAACUAACAGCUCAUACUGGCACACAGCACCAAUCCACAACAUAAAAACCCCACCAAACUAAAAUUAAAAAGAAAGCACUACUAAAAGCAUGGAGAACUAGCGUUCACUCCAGUCAAUGUAGUAGCAGGGAAUAGCAAUAUUAGAGCCCAGAACUGAUGAGGCCCAUUUGUUUUUCCUACCCCCCAAAAUGGGGGAGAAAUCCAUCUGAGCGACUGUCCAUACGAUAAUGUGGCCAGUGCCAGCUCUGGAGUGGAAACUGCUCUCAUCUUUCCGUUCCUUUCUUUAGUGGACAGCAUCGAGGGCAAGGCUGUGCUGCAGUGGAGGAUGUGAUGCAUGGGCACACACUUCAGCUCUGGUGGCUCAGGUCAGGGAACUGCACAUUCAGAUGCAUAUUUUUCAACAUCCCAUGCCAGGAAGACUGCCUGCAGGGCUUGGAACGGAUCCUUGCAACAACUCGGUGCAGGCCUAAGAGGUUAAGGUUUUUACUCCAAUGGAGUCAUCAGUGUCAGCGAUGACAUUUGAGAAAAGGCUCGGGAGGUUAGAGAAGAUGGAGACAGAGAUCUAAUGCCUCUGGGGUGAUCACAGCACCUUUGACAAUCAAAGGCUUUCCAGCAAGACCAUGACUAUAUUGGGUUCCUACAGGACUGACAGUUUUGUCAUUUGUCACAUGGCAGUCCCCAAAAACAUCCUAUGAGAUGGCUUUCAUCCUCCAUUUAUUGAUGAUGAGACGAAGACACAGAAACUAAGCGACUUGCCCCCAGGAUCACAUGGCUUGGGCAAUGGCCAUGGAGAAAUAAAGCCAGCCCACAACUAAGUAUUAUGCAAUCCUACCGUCCUUAGACAGAGCCAAGCCUACAGAAUGUUGCUCGUACUCAGUCCUCGGGUGAAGUUAACAUAACAAUGGGAAGAACCACUGAGCUAUCUAUUCUACCGUGGUGUGGUGGGCUUUUGUGAAUAAACCUUUGUUUAUUUCCCAUAGGAAAAUUCCAGUGUCCUUACCUAAGUAGAGAGGAAAUGUUCCUAUGUUCUGUUCACUCAUCCCUAGCUCCCCUGAGCUGCGUAUAUCUUACUACUUCUUUCUAAGCAUCAACCUUAGUUUUAUGUGUACGUGUGUCAUGGCACACAUGUGGAAGUAAGAACAACGUGUGAGACUGGGUUCUCUCCUUCCAUCAUGUAGCUCCUGGGGCUCAAACUCAGGUUGUCAGGCUUGGCAGCAAGGACCUCUUCCUGCUGAGCCAGCCGAACACUGGGUUUUAGAAACCUUGGAAAGUAAAAUAUAGCCGCAGAUAAUGUGCACUCGCUCUACUGAAUAACAUCCCACCAAGUGACUGAAGUCAGUGGGCCACACACGAAAGAUGUGAGAUAAAUGGGGGAGGACGUCUGUGAGGAGCACGGCCCCAGGGAGGAGGAUGAGUGGUGGAGGGGAAUGGGGGAUGAAUGACUAAAAUUAAUUAUAUAAAUGUAUAAGUCUGUCAGAUAUCAAAAAUCGGAAAAAAUUUAAGAUGCUAUUCUAAAGAGAAUAAAGAAAGAGAAGGAAAGGGAGAUGGGGAAGGGAAGGGGAGAGGGAGAGGGAGGGAGGGGAGGGGAGAGGGAGAGACACAGAAAUCAAAGCUGUAGACAAUUAUGGGACCAUCACCGCCCAUGAGAAAUGCUGUUACUUUAGACCCAAAAUGGAAUUUGUUUAUGUAAGGAAUAGGGUUUUGCUAUAAAAGGUAAGAGCUACAAUCAUGUCGGUUAUUAAUAAGUGGGAUUUAUAAAAUCUCAUUACCAGUAAGUCCAAGGGUAAACUCGUUCCAUGUAUCAAGAGUUAUAAAUCAUUGGGUUUGAAUUGGCCGGUUAGUCAGGUAGGGCGUGGACGUGUCCAGACACCAAUUAUCAAAUCCUGUGCGUUGAGUCGAGGAGAAGUACCCCCUAAAGCACGUAUCAUCUUAAAGCUUGGGUUAAAUAUGAAUGGCCGUGCACAUUGGACUGUCUCAGCUCUCGUCCUGGAUUGCCACAGUGACACUUAGAAUCCCUUAAUCAUGCUGAGGAAAUGCCAAUGACUAUUCGAGUUAAGAAGAGUAAAUAUUUGAUCAAUUCAACACCAAACUGGAAAUCGGAAAGUGACUGUGGCUCUGAUUUUCCUGUGGUCCCUGUUGUCGAGUCUUCAAAGAUUUGUGUCUGGUUGGAAAUUAAGUCAAUAUACGUGGUGACCGAGAACACAUUUGUUUCUCCAUUGCCUGCAAGACUCUGCACAAACACCUGUGUCCACAAUGGCCUGCUGCGAUGCUCGGAGAUUGCUGAGGGAGCUCCGUGGAGUCAUCUACCACAAAGAAUGACAACCUUUAACCUACAGAGGCCGCAUGAGUGGAAGAGUCCCUGCGAACCCACUGAAGUCUGGGAGGCAAAGCAGAACCAAGAGAAGAGGUAGGACAGUGUCGAUUUCUGUCAUUUUUCCAGCGUAAUUUUUUUAUCAUUAGGGAAUUUCACAUCAUGGACCCUGAUUACACUCACUUUCCAGUUCUCCCAGGCCUGCCCCUCCCCUCAAAGAAGAAAGAGGAAAGGAAGAGGAGGAAGAGGAAGAAGAAAAAGUUCAGUCCUUGUUUUUUGUCCAUGUACUCACUGGACCAUGCUCAAACCCUCAGUAGCCAGCACCCUAAAGUCAACUGACUCCUCCCCACCCUCACCCCCACUGGAUAAAAAAUGCCAAGAAACUAGACAGGUAGAAAUAAAAACACCCAACCAAAGUAUACGGUUGGUUUCCUAGACAGUAGGAGUCUAUAACGAACGGUGUAAACGAAUGGUGUUUUACAAAGAAAGUAAUUUCUUAUCAUUGAGUCGGCUUUGAGUUAAGAAGCAGGGAGACAGUUCUGGGGAGGGGACUAGAUCACAGACAAAAAGUUACACAACAAGGGGGUGCGAUUCCACAGGAAAAACUCCUCUCCUUCUGAGCCCCCGAGUGAGCAUCAGACUGACCUCCUGGGGUCACCUGGGGCUGACUUGGUAGGAGAUGCAGUGAGCCCUGAACUAGGUAGCUGCAUAUCUGUGUUUCAGAUCCAGUCUACUCAAAGCACUGCUCAGGGGGAAUCCCAGAUCAGGAGCGCCGGGCUGGGCAGUGGCUGGUUCCUCUGACAUCUGUUUGCAGGGAUUUAGAACAUGCUGGUCUCUAGAGAGGACACACCUCGUCCUCAUAAGUACCCUGGAGGACUAGGCCAUCUGUGGGAGGAGGAGGAGCGUGGGUUCCUAUAACCUGAGGUAUGGGCAUUAUAGUGGUAUGGAAACUGAUUGACAGAAAUUUUUAUGAAAGUACUUGUCACAUUGUCGUGGUUUGAACAAAACAAAAUGUCUUUACGGGGUUGUGCACUUGUACACUCGGUCCAUGGUUGGUGCCACUGUUUGGGAAGGUCAUGGUACCUUUAGUAGGCACAGCCUUGUUGGAGGAAUUACAUCACUAGGGGAGGCGCUAGAAUGACUGUCCAACUGGUGUUGGCUUGUGUGCCAGCUGCCUCAUAAGCGUGGGCAGUGUCAGCUACAUGUAUGUCUUGGUUAUAAAUGCCAUGCGAAGCAGCGUAUCUGUGCUACAAACCAGCCUCACCUUUAAACUGCUUACCCUAAGGCCUCCCUUUCGUUUGGAGACCCGAGAAGCUUUUAAACGAAAGUGUUAAAAACAGCACCAAUAUUUUUAGGGUAAAGAAAACAAGAAGGCCUCUCACUAUUGAUACCCCCCACCUCCUUUUCUUCGACUAGAUAUCAUUAGGAAAACCCGUACUACUGCUCGGCUGUGUACACCAGUCUGCACUCAUCAAAAAAUCUUUGCCGUUAUUGUUGAAUGGAAGAGUGAGUUAAAAGGGGAAGCCAUCUUUUCAAAUAUUUAUCGGACAUCAUAUUUUAAAUUACAAGAAUCCUCUGCUUAGAGUCGUGCCUGAUUUUUAACUGGGUUGUUUAUUUUCUCGACGUUCGGUUUUCUCAGCCUGCCCUCCUAGGUUAGCCACACAGCAGGGUAGGCCUCAUCUCCAGGAGCAGCUGCACAAGGCAAACUGAACUCAAUGGGGAGAAAUCUCAAGUUGUGCAGGAAGGGGUGGGAAGCUGGUGGGGGUGGAAACUAGGAGAGUGUCUAUGUGCAAAAAUAGAUUUGGGAUUCUCAACGAUUUAAUAAAAAUGCCCUUGAAAGAAAAGAGAAGCCAGCUGUGAAACUAAGUCCAUCUUGAAACUUUGAGAUGUAGACAUCCAGGGGCCUUCCCCUCCCUUUCUGUUCUUAAUAAGCAAACCGAUCAGACCAGAUCUCCCGAGUUGCUGGAGCCUAGGUAUCUAUCAGGAGAAACUAGUCAGAGCGAAGAAAUCGCUCGGAGGAAAGCACUGUGAUGAAAUUCGUCAACCGUAUUCAUUAGAUAAAUUUUAAAGGCUGUGAUCUUUACAAUAGAACGCGAUUGCGUUUUAUCACAGCUGCUGAAAAUGCUGUUAACUUUGCCAGUAUUUAACCCCUUCUCGUCUCCAGACUUCAGAACAGCUUUUGCUUUCGCUGAGAAGUCUUUCCUGCCCGUGUUUCCCAAAAUAAGAAACAAACAAGCCAACAACAACAAAAAGAAAACAACUUAUUUCAGCUGUGCACAAAAUCGUCAAGCAGAGAGACAGGGUUGAACCUUGUGGAGUUCAGCUGAGGAUUUGUGAGGCCAAAUGACCGCCGUCUCCCAGUCUGUAGGUUGUCAGAUGGAAAUGUAAAAACCGUGAGGAAAGUUUGUUGUUUUUCUGAAAUCUGCCUAUUCAUAUCAAGCGACAGAAACAUACGUUGUAUUAGCUUAAGGAGGAAGAGGGAAGGAAGUCAAACAAAGAACCGAGGCAGAGCUGCACAGGAUGCGCUGACUCAGCGCGUACACAGGCACGAUGAGGCCCGGGAUUUGACUGAAAGAUAAGGACUAGAGACAGGAUUUGGUGUGUUCUCCCACAUCAAGCUGCAAACAAACGUUCUGUCUUACCCUAACCCUCAAUGGACUCUCUAGCUCUUGGUUAAAGAUUUGAGUUCCAAGUCACAGAUAACAACUGUACGUAUUUACAAGGUCUGCUGUGACAGUGCGAUAUGUGUAUAUUUAAAAAGUAUUGAUAAGAUCGGGACAAUUGGCUGCAUUUAUUUGUCCUUUAUGUCAAGAGCGUUCUAACCUUUUCUGCUGGCCAUUUUGAAAGAUUCAGUCAAUUGCAGUCAGAUACCUUCUAUACCGUAAUUCUUGUGUUGUCUAGACUAACAUCCUCCCUCGUCAAAUCAAGCCAAAAAUGUGACAGGGGCACAGGAGGAAGAGUUUGCUCUCAAUGGCAUCUAGCCUGUGGAAGUAUUUUUGUCUUGGUUAGUUCUAGGUCACAGUACGCAUGACUCACGGGCUAGGAUCUAUAGGACGAGCGGUGAGCUCCUACCUGAAUUCACUGUUAUUUAUUUACAAUUAUUGUAUCUAGAUUUAUUCAUCUUGCAGUCAAUGCCUGGGCUCUCUGCCAUCCCUGUUGAAAUUCCACCCAGGGGUAAAUCACUUCUUAGAGUCAGUCAGCUUGUAUUGUUAGAGCUGUGAUACAUACCU